rnacentral:rRNA from 1 species
AUGGGCGAAAGCCUGACGGAGCAAGACCGCGUGGGGGAGGAAAGCCUUUGGGUUGUAAACCCCUUUUCUCAGGGAAGAAGAAAGUGACGGUACCUGAGGAAUCAGCCUCGGCUAACUCCGUGCCAGCAGCCGCGGUAAUACGGAGGAGGCAAGCGUUAUCCGGAAUGAUUGGGCGUAAAGCGUUCGUAGGUGGCAAUUCAAGUCUGCUGUCAAAGACAGUAGCUCAACUACUGCAAGGCAGUGGAAACUGAAUAGCUAGAGUGCGGUAGGGGCAGAGGGAAUUCCCGGUGUAGCGGUGAAAUGCGUAGAGAUCGGGAAGAACACCGGUGGCGAAAGCGCUCUGCUGGGCCGCAACUGACACUGAGGGACGAAAGCUAGGGGAGCGAAUGGGAUUAGAUACCCCAGUAGUC